rnacentral:lncRNA from 1 species
ACCGUGGCAGCCCAGCAUCUCACAUUCUGACAAGGAGACCUCCGCAGUCACUGUGCUCUCUGGAAAUGAAGAGCAACCCCGACUCCCUCAAACAUCUGUCCUUCCGGGGAUCCAGGUGCAGCAACUGAGGUUCAGGUAAGUACGGCACUUCCUCAAGGCUUCACCAAUAGUAAGUGAUGGAACCAGGAUUCCUACUUGGAUCACAAAA